rnacentral:lncRNA from 1 species
AACUUCAUUCUCUACACUCAUUCUCACACACACUUACACUCAGCAUAUAUUCAAACACUCUCAGCCACCAGCCACCAUAAAACCACCAGCCAUACACCUUCACCCAACACACAUAGAUAACACUUUCUCUAGUCUUUAUCCUUCCGAAACCUACGCUUACUCUCACGCCGGAGGCGCUUUGGGGCAAAACCCCCCCGCCGGCGUUGUUUUGUAGGCCCCCAUCCAGCAGCUACACCACGGAACCACCAGUCACGGCGGAGGAAGGACCGGGACCGGAGAUUGGCGUUAUCAUUUGGCGCUAGAAGGAGGGGCAAAUGAUAGGGAGUAACCCGAGUCCUGGUUCCUAUGGACCCGGGGCCCCUCGAGGACCAUGAUUCUCGGACAAGCACAGCACCUCAGGUCCUGCUCGAGUACAUCACCCGAGAUAGGAUUCGGACCCGGAUACCUCUCGACCACACCCUUGACCGGGGUCCAAACAUGUACCAGACGACAUCUACUGCACGGAGCACAGACUGACACGAUAAAGACAAGCACAACGGUCAACUACUGGCGAUAGAGACAAGCCAGGGAACAUUCCAAAAUACUACUCCUACGCUGACACCUGGACACGUGUAGGGGAUCAAACCCCUACACGUGUAGGACCAGGAUCCAGGUACUCACCCUUAAACCCUAAUCCUUGGCCUAUAAAUAGACCAAGGAUCAGGAGUUUAGGGGUUAACUUCAUUCUCUACACUCAUUCUCACACACACUUACACUCAGCAUAUAUUCAAACACUCUCAGCCACCAGCCACCAUAAAACCACCAGCCAUACACCUUCACCCAACACACAUAGAUAACACUUUCUCUAGUCUUUAUCCUUCCGAAACCUACGCUUACUCUCACGCCGGAGGCGCUUUGGGGCAAAACCCCCCCGCCGGCGUUGUUUUGUAGGCCCCCAUCCAGCAGCUACACCACGGAACCACC